CAAGUCGAACGGCAGCGCGGGGCAACCUGGCGGCGAGUGGCGAACGGGUGAGUAAUAUAUCGGAACGUACCCUGGAGUGGGGGAUAACGUAGCGAAAGUUACGCUAAUACCGCAUACGAUCUAAGGAUGAAAGUGGGGGAUCGCAAGACCUCAUGCUCCUGGAGCGGCCGAUAUCUGAUUAGCUAGUUGGUGGGGUAAAGGCCCACCAAGGCAUCGAUCAGUAGCUGGUCUGAGAGGACGACCAGCCACACUGGAACUGAGACACGGUCCAGACUCCUACGGGAGGCAGCAGUGGGGAAUUUUGGACAAUGGGCGCAAGCCUGAUCCAGCAAUGCCGCGUGAGUGAAGAAGGCCUUCGGGUUGUAAAGCUCUUUUGUCAGGGAAGAAACGGUGCUUUCUAAUACAGAGCGCUAAUGACGGUACCUGAAGAAUAAGCACCGGCUAACUACGUGCCAGCAGCCGCGGUAAUACGUAGGGUGCAAGCGUUAAUCGGAAUUACUGGGCGUAAAGCGUGCGCAGGCGGUUUUGUAAGUCUGUCGUGAAAUCCCCGGGCUCAACCUGGGAAUGGCGAUGGAGACUGCAAGGCUAGAGUUUGGCAGAGGGGGGUAGAAUUCCACGUGUAGCAGUGAAAUGCGUAGAUAUGUGGAGGAACACCGAUGGCGAAGGCAGCCCCCUGGGUCAAAACUGACGCUCAUGCACGAAAGCGUGGGGAGCAAACAGGAUUAGAUACCCUGGUAGUCCACGCCCUAAACGAUGUCUACUAGUUUGUCGGGUCUUAAUUGACUUGGUAACGCA
rnacentral:rRNA from 1 species